rnacentral:rRNA from 3 species
GUUGGUGCUUAUUAGGGCGAGGGUCCACCUGUUCCCAUCCCGAACACAGAAGUUAAGCUCGCUUCUGCCCACGAUACUUGGCUGGAGACGGCCCGGAAAAAUAGGUAGCGCCAACA